AACGAACGCUGGCGGCAGGCUUAACACAUGCAAGUCGAGCGCAUCCUUCGGGGUGAGCGGCAGACGGGUGAGUAACACGUGGGGUUCUGCCCGAUGGUACGGAAUAACUCAGGGAAACUUGUGCUAAUACCGUAUGAGCCCGCAAGGGGAAAGAUUUAUCGCCAUCGGAUGAACCCGCGUCAGAUUAGCUAGUUGGUGUGGUAAAGGCGCACCAAGGCGACGAUCUGUAGCUGGUCUGAGAGGAUGAUCAGCCACACUGGGACUGAGACACGGCCCAGACUCCUACGGGAGGCAGCAGUGGGGAAUAUUGGACAAUGGGCGCAAGCCUGAUCCAGCCAUGCCGCGUGAGUGAUGAAGGCCUUAGGGUUGUAAAGCUCUUUCGCCGACGAAGAUAAUGACGGUAGUCGGAGAAGAAGCCCUGGCUAACUCCGUGCCAGCAGCCGCCGUAAUAC
rnacentral:rRNA from 1 species